rnacentral:rRNA from 1 species
CCUACGGGGAGCAGCAGUGGGGAAUAUUGCACAAUGGGGGAAACCCUGAUGCAGCGAAGCCGCGUGAGCGAUGAAGUAUUUCGGUAUGUAAAGCUCUAUCAGCAGGGAAGAAAAUGACGGUACCUGACUAAGAAGCACCGGCUAACUACGUGCCAGCAGCCGCGGUAAUACGUAGGGGGCAAGCGUUAUCCGGAUUUACUGGGUGUUAAGGGGGCGUAGACGGCGGUGCAAGUCAGAUGUGAAAGCCCGGGGCUUAACCCCGGGACUGCAUUUGGAACUGUGCGGCUAGAGUGGCGGAGAGGCAGGCGGAAUGCGUGGUGUAGCGGUGAAAUGCGUAGAUAUUAGGAAGAACACCAGUGGCGAAGGCGGCCUGCUGGACGAUGACUGACGUUGAGGCUCGAAAGCGUGGGGAGCGAACAGGAUUAGAUACCCCUGUAGUC